CCGGAGCGCCGGCAGCCGCCCGCGCCUCCCUCCCCGCUCCCCGUCCCGCCUCCCCGUCUCCUCCCGCGGGCGAACGCGCGGGGCCGCGGGGAAGGCGGCAGAGGAGCGGUGGGAGCCUACAGCGGGUCUGAGGCGAGGGGAAAAGGGAAACAGGACGCAGCAACAAAGAGCGGAAUGCUCGGGAUCUGACAUGGACGUAGGACGCAACUGCACCUUGUGCAGCUGCCCGGCAGAGGUAAUCCUCUGUUUACAGUCUGUGGCUGAUGCAUCAGCGGGCUGGUGGCAUCCCCAAAGAACGCUGAAAGCAGCAGAGACUCAGCAAUGGCAAAUGGGAAGAAAUUACAAAGCUAUACCAAGAGAAACUGGAGCUUAGCAGCCACUCUCGACCCUGAACAACACCUUACUGAAGAGGAUCUCCCAGCCCUGACAAGAAGACAGAUAACAAAUUCAGAAGCCAAAGCUGAGUUCACCCACCUUACUGCAGCUGUUCUCCACUCAAGCCCUUUCCUCCCAUACUUUUACCCAGACAAAACUCUGCUUUCUCAGCUCUCCAAUAUGAGUCUUCACGCAGCCAGGCAUAGCAGUGAGAGGCAAGGACAAAGUCUGGUGUGCAAGGGGGUGUACAGCUAUGUAACUCUUGAGUCUGUUCUUUAAAUCAUCUUUCCUCUUGUUCCAGUCACAGCAACAUUCCAGCACCUACAGCAAAAGACACAGGGUCUGGCCUCCAGGGAACAGACUCAUUCCACAGUUCUGAUUCCUUCCUUAAUUGACCCUGGACACCUAAAAAUGAAUGGCUUCAUCCUAAAAAAAGCUAAUGUGUCAGCAUGCAAGUAAAAUGUAUAUUUACACUAAGGCCAAAUUAAUGUCAUUUUGGGACCUGAAUUUAGGUCCCAAACAGAACAUUUCAGUGCCUGACUCUGCAACAGGAAUUCUCUUUAAUACAUAUCUGUAUAUAAAUUCUGGAAUGGGGCUGGGGGUGGGGGAAAAUGUCUCUAAAACAAAUGGCUUCCCACCCCCAACAUGAGUCCCUGAAUACAUUAUUAUCAGAGGACUCACUGAGAGAUCUGAAGACCUAAUAUACAGGCUUUGGCCUCACAAGCUGAGAAGGAAACUUUUCAAGGGACAAUAAAACACUCCCUUUACUGUGAUUGUCA
rnacentral:lncRNA from 1 species